rnacentral:lncRNA from 1 species
GCAUAUAUAAUAUUUGUUUAUCUGAUUAUCUUUUUGCGUAAACUUUGGUAAGCAUUUGGCUAUAGGCUUUUGAUCUUAUUUUAUUUUUCUAGAAAAGAGUUUACAUGAUAAGAGGCCUUGAUACAUCUUCAUUGCCUUUAAUCCCUCUGGCUCAGUAACCCCAAGCAAUUUGUAUUUAAAAAUUACAAACUUUAUCAAUUUCCCUAUUUACAGAGCCAUAAACAUAAAUAUACAAGACCCAAUCAAGAGUAAAUGUUGGUAUACACAUAGUUAGAGAGCAUCAGUUUGAAGGUUUUAAGUAGAUAGUUGUCUUCUUUGACCAGUUCCAGAUACAUGGAUGCUACCAUUGUAACGGUUAGCAGUCUUAAAACCAUCACCAAUGGUAUCAUUGUCAUGAUCACCGAAUUCCAUAUGCUCUCCAUGUCCCUCUCAUUUUUUUGGGCUUGGAAGUCAUGUGUAUUCCAAAGAAAGUUAUAUAGGUGAAUGAAUGUACACUGUUUAUGGCAACCCAUUUGUUUGUAUAUUUCUCACAUCUGACUCGCUAUAAUUCAUAUGUUUAUAGAAACUGAACUGAACAAAGCUACAAACAUAUCUAACUUAAACCUUGUGAUAUUAUAAAGUGACUACAUAUAACUUCCCCUUUGUUUGUACCUUCUCUCCAUAAGAUGAUCUUUUGAUCUUUAAGUUGGAGUUAGAUCUUCUCUCCCCUUGCCUACAAUCUUUCUUUAUGUGUUUCUCUUUAGAUUUUCUUCAUGAUG